UUUGUUACUUCAAACCAAUCGGACUUCGGUCUGACAUCAAGUGAUAUUGAACAAUUUAGCUGAUCGCACGGUCUAAGAACCGGCGACAUAUCCUUCAAAUGUCUGCCUUAUCAACUUUCGAUGGUAGAUUAUGCGCCUACCAUGGUUGUAACGGGUAACGGAGAAUCAGGGUUUGAUUCCGGAGAGGGAGCCUGAGAAACGGCUACCACAUCCAAGGAAGGCAGCAGGCACGCAAAUUACCCACUCCCGGCACGGGGAGGUAGCGACGAAAAAUAACAAGCUGGUCUCAAUGAGUUCCAGCAUUGUAAUGGGAACAAUUUAAAUCUUUUAUCGAGGAUCUAUUGGAGGGCAAGUCUGGUGCCAGCAGCCGCGGUAAUUCCAGCUCCAAUAGCGUAUAUUAAAGUUGUUGCGGUUAAAAAGCUCGUAGUUGGAUCUAGGAUUAGGGCUACGGUCGUUCAGCUUGGACGUACUGUAUGCCCGACUCCUUUUCUCUAGUAUUCGAUUGUUGCUCUUAAAUGAGUGACUUUAGUUGCUGGAACUUUUACCUUGAAAAAAUUGAAGUGCUCACAGCAGGUU
rnacentral:rRNA from 1 species